rnacentral:rRNA from 1 species
GAUGAACGCUGGCGGCGUGCUUAAUACAUGCAAGUCGAACGGACAGACCCAAGCUUGCUUGGGUACUCGAGUGGCGCACGGGUGAGUAAAACGUGGGUGAUAUGCCCCGCACUUCGGGAUAAGCCUGGGAAACUGGGUAUAUUAUCGGAUAGGAUCUAUUCUUGCAGGUUGUGGUGGAAAGAUUUUUCGGUUUGGGAUGAGCUCGCGGCCUAUCCGCUUGUUGGUGGGGUAAUGGCAUACCAAGGCGUCGACGGGUAGCCGACCUGUGAGGGUGUACGGCGACAUUGGGACUGAGGGACGGCGCAGACGGCUACGGGAGGCAGCAGUGGAGAGCAUGGCGCAAUGAGGGCAAGCCAGAGGCAGCGGCGCCGCGUGGGUGAAGACGGCCUUCGGGUGGUAAACUACUUUCGCAAGGGACGAAGCGCAAGUGACGGUACCUAGAGAAGAAGCACCGGCUAACUACGUG